rnacentral:rRNA from 1 species
CCUACGGGGGGCAGCAGUCGAGAAUUUUUCACAAUGGGGGAAACCCUGAUGGAGCGACGCCGCGUGGAGGACGAAGGUCUUCGGAUUGUAAACUCCUGUCAUGCGGGAACAAGAAAGUGAUAGUACUGCAAGAGGAAGAGACGGCUAACUCUGUGCCAGCAGCCGCGGUAAUACAGAGGUCUCGAGCGUUGUUCGGAUUCAUUGGGCGUAAAGGGUGCGUAGGUGGUGUGGAAAGUUGAGUGUGAAAUCCUAGGGCUUAACCUUAGAACUGCACUCAAAACUCCCAUACUAGAGGAAUGUAGAGGAGAGUGGAAUUCACGGUGUAGCAGUGAAAUGCGUAGAUAUCGUGAGGAAGACCAGUUGCGAAAGCGACUCUCUGGGCAUUUCCUGACACUGAGGCACGAAGGCUAGGGGAGCAAACGGGAUUAGAUACCCCUGUAGUC